UACGUAGGGUGCAAGCGUUGUCCGGAAUUAUUGGGCGUAAAGAGCUCGUAGGCGGUCUGUCGCGUCGGAUGUGAAAACCCAGGGCUCAACCCUGGGCCUGCACUCGAUACGGGCAGACUAGAGUUCGGUAGGGGAGACUGGAAUUCCUGGUGUAGCGGUGAAAUGCGCAGAUAUCAGGAGGAACACCGGUGGCGAAGGCGGGUCUCUGGGCCGAAACUGACGCUGAGGAGCGAAAGCGUGGGGAGCAAACAGG
rnacentral:rRNA from 1 species